rnacentral:piRNA from 1 species
UAAUNGGUACCUCAGCUAGUUAUCUGUCC